rnacentral:rRNA from 1 species
UACGAAGGGGGCUAGCGUUGCUCGGAAUUACUGGGCGUAAAGUGUGCGCAGGCGGCUCCGCAAGUCGAGUGUGAAAUCCCCGAGCUUAACUUGGGAAUUGCGCUCGAAACUACGGAGCUGGAGUGUGGCAGAGGAAGGUGGAAUUCCACGUGUAGCGGUGAAAUGCGUAGAUAUGUGGAGGAACACCGAUGGCGAAGGCAGCCUUCUGGGCCAACACUGACGCUCAUGCACGAAAGCGUGGGGAGCAAACAGG